rnacentral:lncRNA from 1 species
GUUUUCAUCCAUUCUAAAUUGUGCUGUAAGUGAAGAAGAUUCCUCAUUACAGAAUUAUUGCGUUACAGCUGUUUGAUAAGUGUGGUUAAAAGUGUUGUGUUUGUGUUAACAUAUUUAUUGCUUUGGGCUUACCUUCGAAUUCCUUUAAUGACAAUGUAAGAUCCUGCAGCAGAUAGGAAAAGUGACCAUCCUUGCUCCAUUUGUCUCUGCAUUAUGUACAAGAUUUGUUACAUGAUUGCAACAUGAUGAAAUUGUCUGUUAUUGCUGAUCAAGAUUUAUCUGUCUUAUUAUUGUCUACUACAGGAUACAUGCCUUUUGAAGAUGGUUUAUUAUAUUUUCCCAGGUUAGAAUCUAGUAUUGAUUUUCCAUUGGAUGGAGGCUCCGGAAAACUAAUUUACAGAUAAGAUUGUGAAAAAUAUGUAAGCUUAUUCUAGUUUGAUAUUGUUCCUUUAAAAAGUGAUGUAAACUGAAGUUUUCCUUUUAAGAUAAUGUACUUAAUUUCUAUGGCUUAAUGCAGCUUAAUAGUCUUAAUA